rnacentral:rRNA from 1 species
AGGACGAACGCUGGCGGCGUGCCUAACACAUGCAAGUCGAACGGAGCCCGCAAGGGUUCAGUGGCGAACGGGUGCGUAACACGUGAGGAACUUGUCCAUCGGCGGGGGAUAGCCGGCCCAACGGCCGGGUAAUACCGCGUACGCCGUCCGGAGCGCAUGCUCUGGCCGGGAAAGCAGCAAUGCACCGAUGGAGAGCCUCGCGGCCUAUCAGCUAGUUGGUGGGGUAAUGGCCUACCAAGGCGACGACGGGUAGCUGGUCUGAGAGGAUGACCAGCCACAUUGGGACUGAGACACGGCCCAGACUCCUACGGGAGGCAGCAGUGGGGAAUAUUGCGCAAUGGGCGAAAGCCUGACGCAGCGACGCCGCGUGUGGGAUGACGGCCUUCGGGUUGUAAACCACUGUCGCGAGGGACGAAGAUCUGACGGUACCUCGAAAGGAAGCACCGGCUAACUCUGCGCCAGCAGCCGC